GAUCCGGUGGCCUAGUAGUGAGAGCGUCCACCUCGGAUGCGGGAGGUCGUGGGUUCGAAUCCAGGUCGAGUUG